AAUUUUACAAAGAACAGGCUAUACAGUCAUUAAAAAUUGUUUCUCCAGCCAGGACAGGAAAACUUUCCUGUCUCCCAACCUUCAAUUUUUCCUUGUAGAGUGAUUGUCAUCCACUGUCAUUGCUCUAGCUUGAUCCCUUUCUGUGUUUUCUCUGGACUUUCAUGAGAAGAUUCUAAAUGGCUCACUGACUUCAGUUCACCUUCAUUUCACUUCACGCCGUUCUGCCAGGAUGUCUCCCUAAAGGAUAACUCCAUCCAGGUCACUCUGUUGCUCAAUAUCUAUUACCCAGAGAAUCUAAGGCAAACAUCGUAACCUGACUCACAGAGCCUUCUAUGAUCCAGGCCUAUCAGAUUGUGAUAAAUGGUUAAUUGUCUUUUCAAGUAUAUGACAUUUCUGCCUAAAUAUUGGAAAUUGUUCAGCUACAAUCAUAUCACUUACUUCCACCACUGUGUAUUAUUUUAUUAGAUCAGUUAUGUCUUUCUGGGAUAUAUAUACUGGUAAAUGUAAAAAAAAGUCAUUAUUUAACUUUUUCAAAAUAUAUCAAAGCCUUGGGCAUGAAACUGCAUCAACUAGAUCCUGGCACAGUUGAUCCAUAUAGCCAGCAAUUCUACUCCAUAGGUAUGUGUCUGACAAAGUCAAACACUUACAUCAACCAAAAGAGACAUAUAAGAAUAUUCAAAAAAAAAAAAGAAUAUUCAAAGCAGUGUUAUUUGUAAUAGUUUAAUGCCAAGAUAAUUUCACAGCUACCGAUAGAAUUCAUAGAUCCUAAGUUGCUCAUAAUUUUCAAGACUUUCAAUAGUAAAUGUCUACUAAUGGUAAAAUAGAAAUAGACAUAUCUUGAUUAUAUUUAUAAAAUGAAUUACUAUACUGUGAUAAAAUGGCUAAAUUAUUGCACAUGCAACAGCAUGAUUGCAUUUUAUAAGUAUGGCAUUGAGUGAAAGAAGCCAGAAAUUUUUAAAAAUAUGUUUUCAUUUAUAUAAAUUUCAAAAAUAGGAAGUGGUGGUAGAAGUCAAGAUUGGUGGGUACAUUCUGAGGUAGUGAGAGUAAUGAUUGGCAGGUAGCAAGAAGGUUGCUUCUGGGUUGCUUGUGGUAAUUUUCUAAUUUUUGCCCUAGGUGAUGGUUGCAUGGGUUUGUUCAUUUUAUAAUAAGUCUUUGUACUGUUCAUUUAUAUAUACUUUUCUAAAUCAAGACUAUUUUUUAAACCAAAUGUUUUGUUGACAAAAACUAUUAAUUAAAAAUGUCCUGAUUUCUAUCUCUAGGAAUCAUGUUUUUCCCGGGAUGUCAAAGAUAAACUGGAGUUUCAAUCUUGCUAUCUUAACAAGAACAGAGGGAGAACAAAGAAUAAAACAAGAAAAUAAAGCUGACUAUAUUAAAAGAACAGAGGGAAAGGAUACAGACACAAAUCACCCAGGGGAAGAGAUGCAUGGGGCAGAAUCCAAGAAGGUUCCAAACCAGGAGCUUUCAGUUACCCUUCCUCACGGAGUCAUGGACAGCGCUGCUUUUCUGGCAAUGACAUGUGACAAUACACAUCUUCUGGAGUGGGUAGAAGUGACGGGAAGGUGAAUGUAAAGACACAAAGAGGUCCCUAAAUGAUCUGUUCAGCUCCUUUUCAACUACCAUUAAGAACUGCUGUUAGAAGUUUACAAUGUAAAGGAAGAGACAGAGAAGAUAAUCACAACCUUCCAGGUGAAAUACUAAUAGAGAUCUAGGCAUAUACUAGGCUGUAACGAGAUUUGCUCUGAGGACACAUGCUGUCUGUGAAACAUCUUCUGCUUCACUCUGGGAAGAAUGAUUGAAUUUCUUUAGCCACAGUUUUGUUUUCUGUCUCAAGGCGUUCACUGCCAAGGUAGAAGGGAUUCAGCAUGUUCUAGGUCAGGUUUUUACUGAAAAAGAUUUUUAUGUCUUUCUUGAAAAAGUCAUAAAAGGAAAAAGAAAAGAGAAUGGAUGGUCACAAACUAAAUGGUUCAGUUGCGAACGUUGCCUCAAAUAUUUCCUUAAGGCUCAUUAAGAGGAGAUUUUUCGGCAGUAGAAUGAGUGAGUCAGAAAGGUUAAUAUCUGGUAGAUUUUUAAUAGGGUUUUACUAACCUAGAUAAUACAUUAUCCUAUUAGUAGAAAUAUCUAAUUGCAAAGAAUAAUUCAUUGGUCGGCCUUGCUUACAAAAGAGAGUUUAGUUAUUGAGCUAGUAUAAUAGGCUUCUCUGACAUCUAAGAAUUUAUUGCAAAACAGUUAAAACUAUAUGUACAGACUUGACUAGAAGGGUGGUCAUCUUAGUGUUGUGUGUAUUAAUAGUAGACAACAGGCUGGGCAUGGUGGCUCAUGCCUGUAAUCCCAGCACUUUGGGAGACCAAGGUGGGUGGAUCACUUGAGGUCAGGAGUUCGAGACCAGUCUGGCCAACAUGGUGAAACCCCAACUCUACUAAAAAUAAAAAUAAAAAUAAUAAAAAAUGGGCUGGGCAUGGUGGCGGGUGGCUGUAAUCCCAGCUACUUGGGAGGCUGAGGCAGGAGAAUCUUUUGAACCUGGGAGGCAGAGGUUGCAGUGAGCCGAGAUCGCGCCAUUGCACUCCAGCCUGGGUGACAAGAGCAAGACUCCAUCUCAAAAAAAAAAUAAAUAAAUAAUAGACAACAAUGAGAAAAGCUAGGUAUGCAUUAAUUCAAAGUUGUUUAAAUAAAUUAUUGUAACAAGCAAAAUGGAACACUCUGAAGUAAUUUUAACUGACUUAUUGAUAUGAAAAGACGUUUUUGAUAUAGUUUUAGUUGGAAAAAAAUACAGAAUAGUAUUGUAUUGUAAUUUCUAUGUUAAAGUUUUAAUAAAGUUCCUUAAGUGCUGACAAGAUUAUGAGUAAUUUAAAAUUUAUUGUAUUUGCUUUCUGUAUUUUCUAAUUAUCUGGAAUGAACAUGUAUUGUGAUAAGAUAUAUCAGAAUGUUAUGCACAUAGCCCAGUCUUAUUAAUCAAAUAUUUCAAUUAAUAGAAAAUUAUAAGAUAAAUUUCAUAUUGAUUAAUUUGCUUUUUCACUUAACCCCACACUAUAAACAUUUUUCCAUGACAGUAAAUAUUUAUCAAACAUUUUUCUAAAGUUGUUUUCUGUUUUAUUGCUUAAAGGUACAACAGUUUAACCAAACUCGUAUUGAUGAACAAUAUGAUUGUUUUAAGGCUGUAAUAAAACUACUAUUGUAUAUACCUCUGCUUACUUGUAGGAGUAUUUCAUAAGAAAAUUUCUAGUAAUGGAAUUGCUAGACUAGAGAGAAUACUAAUGUAAAAACACUGUAAACAUUACUGUUAAAAAUAUUAGAAUUUUUUCCUGCAAAUAUUCCUCUUAAAUCUAUCAAUUUAUACUCAUACCAUCAGGGUAUGAUUGUUGCCAUUUUCCUUGCCCCUUGAUGUCGUUUGGCUGUGUCCCCAACCCAAAUCUCACCUUGAAUUGUAAUAAUCCCCACAUGUCAAGGGCAGCACCAGAUGGAGAUAAUUGAAUCACGGAGGCAGUUGCCGCCAUGCUGUUCUCGUGAUAGUGAAUGAGUUCUCACGAGAUCUCAUGGUUUUAUAAGGGGGCUAUCCCCUUCACUCAGUACUUUUUCUCUCUCCUGCCGCCCUGUGAAUGUGAAGGGGUGCCUCCCGCCAUGAUUGUACGUUUCCUGAGGCCUCUCCAGCCAUGCGGGACUGUGAGUCAAUUAAACUUCUUUUGUUUAUUAAUUACCCAGUCUCAGAAAUUUCUUCAUAGCAGCAUGAGAAUGGACUAAUACGGCCCUCAAAAACACCAUUUAUUAUCUAUAGCUGUGCUGUUCAAAAUGGAGGCAGUGCCAAUGUGUGACUAUUUAAACUAAUUACAAUUAAAAUACAAUUUAAAAAUUAGUUUCUCAGUCUCAUUAGUCAUACUUCAGGUUGCACAAUAACUACCCGUGGCCAGUGGUUACCAUAGUAGGCAACAUAUACAAACUAUUUCUAUCAUUUCAGAAAUUUCUAUUGCACUGUGCUACGUUGUGCUGUGCAAUAGCACAGUUUUAACCCUUGAUAAUUUGGCAAAUGAAAAACAUCUUGUCUUAAUUUUCAUUCCUUUGAUUUUAUUCAGCUGAGCAUCUUUUUAAACAUAAUUGUUAACUAUGUUAACUUUUUAAACAUAAUUGUUAAGUUUUAUGUUAACAUAAUUGUUAACAUAAAAUUACCUUUUUUUGUCUUUUGCUCAUUUAUAUACUGUGUAGACUUUAUUUUAUAAGAUCUUUAUAUUAUGGAUAUUAACCCUUUAUAAAUAUGUUGCACAGUUUUUCUUAUUUACUGUUUAUCUUUCAAGUAUAUUUAUAGUGUCUUGCAAUAUAGAAGUUUAUGUGGUCAAAUGUGUGAAGCUUUUUCUCCGUGGUCUGAUUUUAAUUUCUAUCUAAAUAAAACACCACCUAAAGAAGUAUAAAAAUAUUAUCUUAUAUUCCUUUAGUACUUUUAGUUUUUUUAUUUAUGUAAAAUAAAUCCAUUUGAUACAAGGUUCUUUUUGUUUCCACAAGUAACCAGUUUUUUAUCAUAAUUAUUGAAUAAAUUCAUUUAUUCCCUAAUGCUUCAAAAUGCC
rnacentral:lncRNA from 10 species